GACGAACGCUGGCGGCGUGCUUAACACAUGCAAGUCGAACGGAAAGGCCCUGCUUUUGUGGGGUGCUCGAGUGGCGAACGGGUGCGUAACACGUGAGUAACCUGCCCUUGACUUUGGUAUAACUUCAGGAAACUGGGGCUACUACCGUAUCGGAGCUCCUGCUGCAUGGUGGGCGUUGGAAAUUUUCGGCGGUUGGGGAUGGACUCGCGGCUUAUCAGCUUGUUGGUGGGGUAGUGGCUGACCAAGGCUUUGACGGGUAGCCGGCCUGAGAGGGUGACCGGCGACAUUGGGACUGAGAUACGGCCCAGAGGGCUAUGGUAGGCAGCAGUGGGGAGUAUGGCACAAUGGGAGGAAGUCGGAGGCAGAAACGCUGCGGGUGGGAUGACGGCCUGUGGGGAGUAAACAGCUGUAGCCUGAGACGAAGCGUGAGUGACGGUAAUGAGUAAAGAAGCACCGGCUAACUACGUG
rnacentral:rRNA from 1 species